rnacentral:rRNA from 1 species
CAGUCGCCGCGGUAAUACAGAGGGUGCGAGCGUUAAUCGGAUUUACUGGGCGUAAAGCGUGCGUAGGCGGCUUUUUAAGUCGGAUGUGAAAUCCCUGAGCUUAACUUAGGAAUUGCAUUCGAUACUUGGAAGCUAGAGUAUGGGAGAGGAUGGUAGAAUUCCAGGUGUAGCGGUGAAAUGCGUAGAGAUCUGGAGGAAUACCGAUGGCGAAGGCAGCCAUCUGGCCUAAUACUGACGCUGAGGUACGAAAGCAUGGGGAGCAAACAGGAUUAGAUACCCGAGUAGUCCCUGUCUCUUAUAC